rnacentral:lncRNA from 1 species
AUGAACUACGGAAAUAGAGUAACUGAACUAAUGCCCAUCACUGGUUUAUCAAGGUACUUACCUUCUGUACAGUUGUAUCUUAGUAAGACAAAUUGCUUAAGACAGCCUCUGUUUCCUGUUGUAUCGCAAUCAUGGUCACUGAUAAAAGGAAGAGAAAAUUGCAAGCUGUGUGACCCAAUCCAGUCUUCUCGCCCAGCAGCUGGCACUGCACGCUCAGGAAGUAACUGCUCUGGGAAGGUGUGAAUUUCUUCCUACUUCUCAUUUCCCCGUGCAAUCUGUUGAGGUGCAGCCUCACAAACUAUAAAAUUGCCUUAUAUAUUUCUUUUUUUUUUUAAAUUUCAGAACCCAGGAAUGGGUUUAUUAAUAUUAAAAAGCUCCAAGAGUUUCUUUCCUUUUUUUUCAGCCAUGAUUCUAGCUUCCUUUCAGGAUCUGAGCUGAUCUGCUUUGCUAUAGAAAAAGAGUGCAAAUUAAAAUCACCACCUUACUACCAUCAUCCAAUUGCAAUUGAAGACACUCACAAUCUCCUUCCAAACUAUCAGCUCAGGUCAUAGCACUGGGUCAAGGCGUUAACUGUAGUACGUGAAAACAGAAAUGAAAGGAGUAUUAAUGUCCUCCAGAUGUCUAAGCAAUUUUUUUUGCUGAUAUAAGACUUGCCCUUAGAAACUCAUUCCAUUAAGCCCAUCCUGUGCCCAGGAUUCCUUUUUCAUCUUCCUUCUUAUAAAGCAGUCCUGGUAAACCACAGGCAGCUAGAUUUUAUUGUGAGAAUUCUUUAUAUCUGCAAACUACUUGUUCCUUGCUUUUGUAAUACAUGCAUAGCAUUUGCUUACAUUACAUAACUGCAAAAAUACGUAUUUAUAACCAAACAUCGGAAGCCUAUGUUUGGUAACACCUAAUUCUCAUUUGUUCCCGACCUUGAGUACUGCAUUAAUACUUGCAGUAACUUUUCAUUCUGUGAGCAUGUGUACACCCUUAAAACCUCAUUACCUUCUACCCAGAAGUUCAGUGCUUUUCUUUUUUCAUGCAGUCAGACAGGAAAAGGCUGUCUGAGGAGCUUACCUGUUUCAAGGUAUUCACAUUCAAACUGGUUUUCUUUCCCAAGAGUUUGAGUUCUAGGAUUUGCACUGUGUGAAAUGCAUUCUUGUUUUGGGGAAUACAAUUUAUAAAGAAUAAGAAAAAUGAACUCUGCAUACUAAAUAAAGCUUGCCUUUCCAUUGCCA